UGCAUGAUGUGGACUAGCUUUUUCAUCCGUUUACUUCAGAGUAGCAUCUAUACUGCCAACCCCAGAGGACCAAGGUGAGCAGCAGCUGGGGCUAUGUGGCAAAGCAUAGCAGAUCCCAAAUCCAGCCAUGAGACCCAGAAGAACCCCUUAGCUCACCCUCAAAGGAGCUUACUGGGCCUGUCUCCUGCAGAGUGGAGGUUGUGGCAGGUGUUCAGAUGCCCCCCUCUAAUCUGGGUUCUGCUAGCGCUCAGGAACACGAGGAACACCCAGAAAACAGUCUGUUUCAGUCUCUGCCCAUACUUGGAAUUAGGUAGAAUUUCUUUCUCAGACAGGUCCUGACUUUUUUCCAGAUUCUGGGAUGGAUUUUGUCUGGUGACCAUGCUCAUGUGAAGUUUGGGUACAGCUCUACUGAAAAGCUCUAGAGCUGGGCAGAUUUAGUUCAGCCAUCCCUCAGGGAUAUGUCCAGGACUAAUGCUCCUAAUCUUCACCUCAGGUUGUAGUAAGUACCGUCUGGCAUAAGAAGCUGUGCACACAGUGGGAACCAGAUAAACUCUUGUCUCCUUCACUGGUUUGGCCCAGAGUCACUCUCCUUUGUCUUUAAGCUCCAUUCUUACCAAUAUGACUUCCACGGCGGCUGCUGACACCCACUGAGCUCCCACUACCUUUGAUAAGACACAUUUAGUGAGACUCUCCAGUAGCCACACAGGCAGGGGUGACACCACUUCACAGAGGAGGAAAGCUGUACCAGUAAUGUGCUGGAGCCAUUUCCACGCUUGCUUUCUGUCAGACCUUCCUCUCCGAAGUGGGGCAGAAUGACUAAUGAACUGAGGAUGAUGUUACCUCACAAGGGCACCCAAAUGUUUAGAGAUAUUUAUGAAAUAAAUAUGCUUGAAUGAUCCAUAAGGCUAAGGGGAUGGAGUAUAUAUUAGGGGUACAACCAGGGAAAAAAUGAAAAUAUGAAUUCAUUAAUCAUGCAUGCCAUCAACUAAGGCUGACUGACUCAGUUCUUUGUUCCUGAUAUGCAGGUGAAGGUAAAGGGCUUCUACACUUGAACAUCUCAAAUUCCGUGUGCACAUGGAAGGUGGGAAACUUGUCAAAAGGCAAGUUCACUGGGGCUGGAGAUAAGGUUCAAUACUCAGAGCAGCUACUGUUCUUCCAGAGGACCUGGAUUCAAUGCCCAACACAGCUCACAAUUAUCAGUAGCUCCAAUUCCAGGGACUCUAAUGCCCUUUCUGGCCUCUGUAUGUACCAGGCAUGCAUCUAAUACAAAUACAUACACACAGGCAAAACACCCAUACACAUAAAAAUAAAGUGGUAAGUCUGGGGUGGCCCCUGAGAGUAUUCAUUUCCAGCAAGACUUUGGUAGUGGUGGUACUGAAUAGAAUGACUUCACCAUUCUCCAACCUUGUGAUCUGUGAAUUACAACGGGACUUUGCAAACAAGACCUUGAAGGUCUUUGCUUAGAACUGUGGAUUGGGGCUCGGGAUGUACUGUAUACAAACUCCUGAGGAGUCUUAGGAGAUGGUGAGGCCAUGGCAAGCAAGGGUGUGGUACCCUUCUACAUUGUUGUUAUUAUAUGAUCAUAGGAGGCUCAGCAGAUCUGUUCCACUGAACCUUCCCAAUGGCAGAGAUAGGAAAAGUGCACGAGGGCUUCCCAGGACCUCUUGUUGCUAGAGUCUGAGGUGAUAGGUUCUCACAACCAGGUGAAGUCAGUCCAUUUAGCUUUGAACUAGGAACCUGAAUGUGAGCUGAAUUGGGCACAAGGUGACAGGGAAAGGCAUACACUUUCCGAUGCAGACUUGGACAGCUGCUACUGUACAGUUCCUACUUCUCAGACCAUGGUGAUGAGCUCUCUGGCUAAGUUAAAUGAGUAUUUACUGCCCGGAACUUCCAGACUGGCCCCUCCUCCUCAGUUGCUCUGAACCAUUACACUGUGACUUUCCUAGCACUUGCUUUAUGUAGCUUAUUUGGAAUGACACGUGCAUGUGGUUAGCCAGGGUCCUUUGUUGGGAGCAGAGGAUGGGCCUUCCGCUUCCACAAGAACAAGUGAGAUACUUAGACUUCCUGAUGCAUCCUCGGACCUGGACAGUUACCAGAGCCUUGCCAGUCUACUGCUUAUACCCUCACUCUCUGCCAUGCUUGCCUUUUGACCUGUUCUCAGAUUCCUGGUCAAGUCCAGAGAAGUGAUUUAGGGUGUGGCAUCCCAAGGGCAAACAAGGCCUAGAUCUGGUGGCUAGGAUGCCUGCCUCUGAGCAUCUGUUCUAGUUUUGAACAGUGGUCAGCAAGCAAACAAGUAUUACUGACAAGCAAAAGUGGGGCUAUGCCUGGGAUUGUCAUUGGUGGUGGAACCUGUCUCUAUUGGAACUGCACCGAAGUAUAUGUACAAAAUCAGGUGACAGAGAACAUGAAGUGAUCCAUGGAUUUGUUUUCCUCCUGCAAAGAAGACAGCUAUGGAUCAAUGAUAAAAUGUCACCAAUGACAAGACGAAAGUCAUGAGGAAGCUGGGUUCUGGAGGGAGGUUGGACAGAUGUGUUACCUGUUUUCCAGCUGUGUGUCAACAGGUAAGAACUCUAACAGGAAUGUAGCUCCAUUUAAUACUUGGUACAUUCCUGGAGUUGAGGUCUUAGGAGACUCGUGGUUUAGAUUGGAGGUUGGCUUGAAGCUCAUGACUGAGGAGAGAAACGCAAUGCAAAACUCAGCCAGCUCUAAGAAUAGAAAAGACAGCAAGCCAAGAAGAGAAGGUGGGAUGUGGGCCGGUGUAGCCUAGAAAUAGUAUGAGUGGUCUUAUUUAGCACCAAAAGACAAUGAUUUAGAAGUAGACCUUGAUUCUAUUUGUAAGCCACUAGAUGAGCUAUGAGAUUUCAAACCAAGUGAAAAUGAUACUGUGAAUCUUAUUAGAUGUCCGAAGGUCUCAGGAAUUUCCCCCAGAGAAAAGACCUUCUUAUAUCACAGCCAGCCCAGAAGUCAACCCCAACUCCAUGGGGUCAUAGCCACUGCCCCGUGGCUGUUAUCAAAGCCAACAGGGCAAGCUACUGUGGACUCUGCUCUGCAUGGUCUUGGUCAAAUUUUUCCAUUAAAAAACAAAAGCAAAUGGGACAAUACAAACAAGAUAUGACUUGACAUCACUAGUUUGGGUACAAGCAAGGAUUGGUGAGGAUACAGAGAAACUGGAGCACUACCUCUGGUAUGAAAAUAGCGUGGCUGUUUUGGGAAACACUGGCAGUUCCUCAAAAAAUUUAACGUGUUAUUAUGGGACCCUGAAAAUCCAUUCCAGAUACAUUCAAUGACUUAAAAACUGCCCACGCAAAAUAACAAAACCCACUUUGUACAUGAAUGUUAACAGCAUUCAAUAUAACAAGCAAGGAGAAACAAUCCAAGCAUCCAUGAACUUAUAAAUUAACAAAUAUGACAUAGCCAUGCUAUGAUUGUACAGCCAUGGGGAAUGUCGAUGCUACAAUCACAUGAACAGUGAGGACAGAGAGUGGGAAAUGCUGGACACACAGACCACACACUGAGUGAUGUCACUUAUGAAAACUAUCCAAAAUAGGCAAACAGACUGGAGGGUUGCCUGCCCAGGGGAGGGAAAAUGGGAGUGAUUGCCAGUGAAGAUAUUUCUUUUGGAGGAAUCUGGGGUUGGAUGCACAGCACUGUGAAUAUCUCCCAACCCACUGAGUUGUGUACUUUAAAAUAGUGAAUUUCAUGGUUAUGUAAAUUCUCUUAAUAAAGCUAUU
rnacentral:lncRNA from 1 species